GUGGAACCAGGUGUCCUUAUUUCGUCUAUCAUCAUUUUGACUUUUUCAGGCACUUUGGUAGCAUCACUACAAAUUUCCUGCCACCCAGGCAGCUUGGAGUUGAGGAAUUCUGCACACUGCAUCCAAAUGUAAAAGACAUACCUGGGGGUAGAGACAGUGAAGAAAAACUGAUUGCUUAGCAUCAGCUGAGAGAACAGCCCCCUGCCUGCACCAGCCCCAGUAUCUUGCGAUUGUAUCGUGUCUGGUACGUUACCUGGAAAGUGUGUGGAUGGAUGAAAAUUAGAAGACUCAGGAGGAAGAGGAGAGCAAAAGGCAGAAGGCAUUGCGCUAAGGAAGGUAGCUGUUGGCAUAUAUGGAGCUAACAAAUCAUGCGACUAGAUGAAUUAUGGAAUUUCUUUAGGAUAGAGUCCUGUAUUCCAAGGAUAUGGGGGAAGAGAAGCUCUACAUGAUGUGGAAAAUGUGCGCGCAUAGCAGCUCUGUUUUCACUAGCUGAGUUGAGACAUACCGGGCGUCCAGGUUCAGCAGAUAGAGACCACGCUGUGGAAACAAGUCCACUGGAAGAGAACUCCCAGGGAGAGCUCCAGUACCUCACAUCUGCUCUGUGUAUACGUAAAGCUGCUGGGAAGGAUGAAGAAACAAUUUCUAGCUCAAAGCCUUCAGGAGCUGGAAGGCAUACAACCAAGGGAUCUUUUCUCCAUUAGACCAAGCAGUCUCUGGAAGUUUUUCAGUCUUUGCGCUGCCACAGUGCUUGAUUGUUAGCAGAAACGUCUGCGCCAAUUUCUAGGACAGGAACGCAUGAGAAACAGUGAAAACCUUUGCAAUGGAAAUUUCUCUUUGGAAUUUGCUCGGUUUAACACAGGGUAUGCUUAGCUGAUCUUCACAGCACUGUGCAAGGCUCAUCUUUCUUACUGAGGGUUUGUGUUUGAUAGAGACCCAGCUUUUUUUUUCCCUCCUCCUCCCUGCUGGAUCUACAAGACAACCUAAUGAAAUAUUUUUUAGAUGAUUUUUUCCUCUCUCCAGCAUCAGAGGGAAGCAUAUGUAUUGUUUUUUCUACUGGAGGCUAGAUUCUCAGAGCAAACAAAAACCUGCCCUUGCUUUGAGAGCUCUUUUUAUACAGCUAAUGACUGCUGCCGUCUUCAAAGCAGCUUCAUUCCGGGAAGAAAUACCUAGAGCACUUCUUCAAAAAAGCGAAACUGUCACUGGCAACUCCCUUUUCAGGAUCAGAUAUGAACUUGAUAUUGCCAAGACAUUUCAGAUCACUUAAAAUGAUUGUAGUAUUUCCUUUAACUUCAGAAGUUACAGAGUUAAAAACAAGCCACUCAGAAAUCAAUUUUAUAGCUGUUUAUUUUCAGGUGAUGCCUUACUAUUUUACAGCUUCCCGUAUCUGUAGUCUAAGGAAAAGGUCACGACAAGGACUGGGACCAACCACCAGUAGCACUAGUCAUACAUUAAAGCCAGAUCUGAGAAUUAAAAAAGCAGAGAUGGCAGAGCAGAGGAAUUUCUGAGCACGAGGCCCACUGCCUUAAAGCUGUCAGAAGUAACACGACCCCUAUGUUAUUUGACAACCGCUGUGCUGUACGCAGACAUUGUAAUAAAACUUUGGUCUCAGUUCUGUGGGACAUGACAAAGUAAGGGAACAGCUGAGAGAAAGUAGUUCACAAGACAUCGUUUGGCUGUUCAGUGAGCAACGCAGCCCAGGCCUCCUAAUUGUCAAUCUCAUGCCCUAUAUUCUAGUGACACACUACCUCUUGUGAAUGGAGUAAUUAACUAGAAAAGAACAGGAGGCACAUGAUUAGAUCCUACAGCUUUCUAUUAUUUAGGAUGAAUGGAAACGAAGGGAAACACUUUCAAGAGAGGCAACUGGAAACAUCUUUUUAUGCAGAAUGUUAGAGUUGGCACAAGUGAUCUUCCCAAAAAAGAGCUGAAGGGGGAUGUACUCUCUGGUAUGAAGGUUGCUGUAUGCCCUUCACCACAUGAAACCAACGCGUUAACCAGCCUGGCAGAAAAGACUAAGGAGCAACAAGCGGUGUAUUUCCACCUGGGUACAGGUAUCAUAUCUUCCACAGUUCCUGAUAGCCAUAUAAACAAGGUUAAUCUUCAAAACAAAUGAAAGCCAUUGUAAAAGUGCCUUCCUGUAAAGGCGCAGCUUUGCUUCUUACUUAAAGACACAGCUCGCAGAACAAUAGCUCAGCAGGUAUGGGUACAGCCAAACAAUGCACAGACUCCCCGUAGUUUCAAGUUUACAUCCUGCAGGCACUUUUGCAAGAGUGGAUAACAAUGUAUUUAGGUCAAAAUCCGAAAUUACAGAACUAAGACAGAAAAGUAGGUCUAAUGUUACUCAUAUUACUAUCACUACUGCUAUUUAUAGCUAACCUUUGUAUAGCCACUAGUUUGUUUAUAACGUUACAAGUCAAUUAGAAAAAAACAGCAACAUUAAUUUUUUUGAGUCUUUCAUGUUGUCUGAGAACCCGUUGAGGAGAUUCAAAAGGCCCUAUAGAAAGCCAAUCAUAGUGUUCCAUUUUGUACAUUAUUACAUCUCAUCUCUUUGAAAUCCAGAAUAAAGCUUUCAUAAGUGCAGGAUUAAGUCCUCAUGUUAAGCCAUCUCAGCUGUAAAUUGGCUUAAUAUUGUUUUAAAACAGGUCUAACAGAACAGAGAAAAAAAAAUCAGGAUGACAGUGUUUAAUCAAAAAGUCUAAUUCUUAUGACUAAUUAUUAGUCAGCUUGAUGUUUCAUGUUUAAGAGAAACAUUAAUACAUCGUCCACCAAUGCGUUCUAACUACAAAGUUUUCCAGGUUAUGAAUGUGUGACCCAAGACAGAAUAUAAGCAGACAUAACUAAGUAAGGUCAAAUAGAUAACUUGUACUAAGCUAGAAUUUAUAUGCUCACAGACUCCCAGAGGCCCUUUUUCCCCCAAAUUAGGAUUUAUAUUUUGGUGAUUCAAAACAAUACCCUUCCUGCAGCAUGCCACAAGUGAAUUUUAACUACUGACAGUAAGUCUGGUGGUCUAAUCUAAUUGUAAGCCUUUUUAAAAUGUGGAUAUGUGGAA